rnacentral:rRNA from 1 species
CGCGUGAGUGAUGAAGGUUUUCGGAUCGUAAAGCUCUGUUGUUAGGGAAGAACAAGUACCGUUCGAAUAGGGCGGUACCUUGACGGUACCUAACCAGAAAGCCACGGCUAACUACGUGCCAGCAGCCGCGGUAAUACGUAGGUGGCAAGCGUUGUCCGGAAUUAUUGGGCGUAAAGGGCUCGCAGGCGGUUUCUUAACUC